GGGGGAUUAGUUAAGUGGCAUAACAGCGCUCUCCAAAAGCACUGUCGGGAGUUCGAUUCUUCCAUCCCCCG
rfam:Parcubacteria bacterium GW2011_GWE1_40_20 TT89_C0001, whole genome shotgun sequence.